rnacentral:rRNA from 1 species
CCGGGGCUUCUUCUACGGUUACCGUCAUUAUCUUCACCGUUGAAAGAGCUUUACAACCCUAGGGCCGUCAUCACUCACGCGGCAUGGCUGGAUCAGGCUUGCGCCCAUUGUCCAAUAUUCCCCA